rnacentral:rRNA from 1 species
AACGAACGCUGGCGGCAUGCCUAACACAUGCAAGUCGAACGAGACCUUCGGGUCUAGUGGCGCACGGGUGCGUAACGCGUGGGAACCUGCCCUUAGGUUCGGAAUAACUCCCCGAAAGGGGUGCUAAUACCGGAUAAUGUCUUCGGACCAAAGAUUUAUCGCCUUUGGAUGGGCCCGCGUUGGAUUAGCUAGUUGGUAGGGUAAAAGCCUACCAAGGCGACGAUCCAUAGCUGGUCUGAGAGGAUGAUCAGCCACACUGGGACUGAGACACGGCCCAGACUCCUCCGGGGGGCAGCAGUGGGAAAUAUUGGACAAGGGGGGAAAGCCUGAUCCAGAAAUGCCGGGGGGGGGAUGAAGGCCUUGGGGUUUAAAAGCUCUUUUCCCCGGGAUGAAAAUGACAGUACCGGGAGAAUAAGCGCCGGCUAACCCCG